UGCGCAGUGAACUAGGCUUCUCGUCGGCGCAAAUGUCAGCGACACGGACAAACACUGACAGACUCUCUCAGCGGUUCAGUGUGAGGACAAGAAAUGAGCGAUUUCGACAGCUGUGACGUUCAUUCUCAAUAAAACAACAACAAGCUUAAAGCCGAAGGAACUGACGGAGACAUGGAGCAGGAGUUUGAGGACAUAGACUCAGAGGGCCGCUGGCAGAACCUUUAUUUAGAAAUACGCAACCAAUCACAUGAAUGUGCUUUCAAAGUGGCCAAGUAUCCGGAGAAUCGCAAUCGGAACCGAUACAGAGACGUGAGCCCUUUUGACCACAGUCGAGUGAAAUUAGAAAACACAGAAAAUGACUACAUCAAUGCCAGCCUGGUGUUAAUGGAAGAAGCCCAGAGAAGAUACAUACUUACCCAGGGUCCUCUGAGAAACACCUGUGGUCACUUUUGGCUGAUGAUCUGGGAGCAGAAGACCAAAGCUGUUAUCAUGCUCAACAGAGUAAUAGAGAAAGGCUCGGAAAAGUGUGCACAAUAUUGGCCGACACAAGAAGAGCGAGAGAUGUCGUUCCGUGACACUCGAUUUGUGGUAACACUAGUGUCAGAGGACAUAAAGUCAUAUUACACCACCAGAGUGCUGGAACUCCAGAAUACAAAUACGGGGGAGACGAGACAGAUCUAUCACUUUCACUAUACCACAUGGCCUGACUUUGGCGUCCCAGAAUCCCCAGCCAGCUUCCUGAAUUUCCUGUUCAAGGUUCGAGAGUCGGGAUCACUUGGGAUGGACCAAGGUCCAGCAGUGGUCCACUGCAGCGCAGGAAUCGGCCGAUCGGGAACAUUCUCUCUGGUCGACACUUGUCUCGUUUUGAUGGACAAAAGGAAAGACCCACUGGCGGUGGACAUCAGAAAGAUUCUCCUAGACAUGAGGAAGUAUCGGAUGGGUUUGAUUCAGACCCCCGACCAGCUGCGUUUCUCCUACAUGGCUGUGCUGGAAGGUGCCAAGUACAUUAUGGGAGACUCCUCUGUGCAGAAACAGUGGCGAGAGCUCUCCAGAGAGGACCAAGAGCCCCUGUCCGAGUCUCCCCCGCCGCCACAGCCUCCCAAAUGCACAGAACGCUUCAACGGCAGCAAACUGUCUCGUCUGGAGGACGGGAUGGACCCGAAGACAGGAAAGAAAACAGGCCUGGAGACCCCCAAUAAAGAAUCAGACAGAGAUGCUGGAACAAAUGCUCGCAAAAGACAUCGAGACGAGAAAAUGUCCAACCCCACGCAGAAGACUCAGAAGCAGACAAAACCCAGGAUCACUGACCCUGAUAAGAAAAGAAAAAGUCUGGGCUGUAUUUGCUGUUCGUGACACAGCGAAUGAGGCAGCAAUGGCGCAUCUGCAGGAUUUUUGUAAAGACGAGCUUGUCCGGGCUUCUCAAAAUCCUCAGGCUAGCAAGAGCAACCAGUGACUCCUAACUCCAUGGCAACCUCAGCAAGAGAUCUUCAUCCCAUAAUGCUCUCCCAUCCACCCCUGUGUUUUCAGAAGUCGUUUACAGCAUGAACUCCUCGAGAAGGUUUCUCCACUCCGAACAACAGCACACACCAGCAAUAUAACUGUGGAUGAAGCGCUGUAAUAUCAGCAGGACAGCGCAUCGCCACGGUUCGGAUUGGUUUUAAUUUCAUUGGACCUAUUUUGUCUUAUUUUUUAUUUUGCUUUUUGUUUUGUUGGAAAAAGCAGCAGGAUCUGAAGUACGUCUAUGCAUUUCUAAUGCUGUUCACACAUUGUAUUUUUAGACAACUUUUUUUCAGAGGCAAAAUGAAAUGCUCUAUUUUUAUAUGAAAUUACUUGAAAUGUCCUAUCAUAUCUACAGGGCUUUAAUCCAGUUUGUGAGAUUGUUAAAUGACAUCUUGGAGUGCUCACAAUGUGUACAUAGUGUACCUUAUGAGAUGUAAAAAAAAAAAAAAAUUGUGAUUGUACAAAAAUGAUGAAGACAUUGCAUUUGGUUGAGUCCCACAGAACAAAGCAGCAGUGUCUGAAGAGUCUUACUUUCCUUUAUCUAAGAGUAGGAUCCAUGAAUAAAACCGCUAUCAUUUAGUUUCUGUAA